UCAGCCAGAGCGGGAUCGUGUGGCUCGGGGCGGCCAGCACGGGGUUUCCCGGGGCCGGACGGCAGGGUGGUUACAGGAGCGGCAGAGGGAGAUGGUAAUGGAAAUACCUACAAGCUGUUGGUGUUUUGGGACUGUGAGGAUUGAUUCUGCCCAUGUGGAAACAGAAGAGGACACACAUUUAUGUUAAAGAAAGUACUGGUUAAUCAUCUGCAUCUCGGAGUGGCUGAAAGCCCCCACAAAGUCCUUGGGGUGGAACUGCAGUGCUCGCACCGAGCUGGC